rnacentral:rRNA from 1 species
CCAGCAGCCGCGGUAAUUCCAGCUCCAAGAGGAUAUAUCAAAUUUGUUGCAGUUGAAACGCUCGUAGUCGAAUUUCUGUGAGGCUUGGGUUUUCUUUUUAUUUCAGCAAUGAUUGAAAAGUAGAUUCGCCUUGCAUCAUGGGGACUUCCGUUUUGUUAUUUUGAUUAAUAAUAAGAUGCCCCUCCGUCACUGAGAGCAAAUUGGAGUGCUCAAAGCAGGCUAUAUAGCUUUGAACAAUUAAGCUUGGAAUGACAAUUUAUGACUAUGUUGUAAUUGUUGGUUUUAUAAUUUUAGUAAUGAUAAAAAGGAACAGUUUCGCGGGGCUGCUUGUAUUUCUGAGUCAGAGGUGAAAUUCUUGGAUUUCAGAAAGACUAACGACUGCAAAAGCAUUCAGCAAGGAUGUUUUCAUUGAUCAAGAACGAAAGU